GAGUUUGAUCUUGGCUCAGGAUGAACGCUGGCGGCGUGCCUAAUACAUGCAAGUCGAGCGAACGGACGAGAAGCUUGCUUCUCUGAUGUUAGCGGCGGACGGGUGAGUAACACGUGGAUAACCUACCUAUAAGACUGGGAUAACUUCGGGGAAACCGGAGCUAAUACCGGAUAAUAUUUUGAACCGCAUGGUUCAAAAGUGAAAGACGGUCUUGCUGUCACUUAUAGAUGGAUCCGCGCUGCAUUAGCUAGUUGGUAAGGUAACGGCUUACCAAGGCAACGAUGCAUAGCCGACCUGAGAGGGUGAUCGGCCACACUGGAACUGAGACACGGUCCAGACUCCUACGGGAGGGCAGCAGUAGGGAAUCUUCCGCAAUGGGCGAAAGCCUGACGGAGCAACGCCGCGUGAGUGAUGAAGGUCUUCGGAUCGUAAAACUCUGUUAUUAGGGAAGAACAUAUGUGUAAGUAACUGUGCACAUCUUGACGGUACCU
rnacentral:rRNA from 1 species